rnacentral:rRNA from 1 species
UACGGAGGGUGCAAGCGUUAUCCGGAUUCACUGGGUUUAAAGGGUGUGUAGGCGGGGAUUUAAGUCAGUGGUGAAAUCUCCAGGCUCAACCUGGAAACUGCCAUUGAUACUAUUUAUCUUGAAUUCUGUUGAGGUGGGCGGAAUACAUCAUGUAGCGGUGAAAUGCUUAGAUAUGAUGUAGAACACCGAUUGCGAAGGCAGCUCGCUGGGACGGUACUGACGCUGAGGCGCGAAAGCGUGGGGAGCGAACAGG